CCCCGUGCACCUUUACUACAGCUUCGCACUGGCAUCAGGAUUGUGAUGUGCAGGAUAGGUGGUAGGCAUCGAAACCGUGACGCUAGUCGCGGUGGAGCCUUCCUUGAGAUACCACCCUUCGCACUCUUGAUGUCUAACCGCGGCCCAUUAUCUGGGUCCGGGACCCUGCGUGGCGGGUAGUUUGACUGGGGCGGUCGCCUCCUAAAGCGUAACGGAGGCGCGCGAAGGUUGGCUCAGAGCGGUCGGAAAUCGCUCGUUGAGUGCAAUGGCAAAAGCCAGCCUGACUGCGAGACUGACAAGUCGAGCAGAGACGAAAGUCGGCCAUAGUGAUCCGGUGGUCCCGAGUGGAAGGGCCAUCGCUCAACGGAU
rnacentral:rRNA from 13 species